rnacentral:rRNA from 1 species
GGCGAACCGUCCAAACGUUAUUCGGAAUCACUGGGCUUACAGAGUUCGUAGGCGGUCCGGUAAGUUAGGUGUGAAAUCCCUCGGCUCAACCGAGGAACUGCGCUUGAUACUGCCGGACUCGAGGGAGAUAGAGGAAAGCGGAACUGAUGGUGGAGCGGUGAAAUGCGUUGAUAUCAUCAGGAACACCGGUGGCGAAGGCGGCUUUCUGGGUCUCUUCUGACGCUGAGGAACGAAAGCUAGGGUAGCGAACGGG